rnacentral:rRNA from 1 species
AGAGUUUGAUCAUGGCUCAGAACGAACGCUGGCGGCGUGGAUAAGACAUGCAAGUCGAGCGCUGAUUGCGAGGUAGCAAUAUUUCGUAGUCGGAGCGGCGCAAGGGUGCGUAACACGUGGGCAAUCUGCCAUGAAGUUUGGGAUAACUUGCUGAAAGGCGAGCUAAUACCGGAUGUGAAUGUUGGGAGGCAUCUUCUGACAUUUAAAGUUGGGGACCGUAAGGCCUGACGCUUCAUGAUGAGCCCGCGGCCUAUCAGCUAGUUGGUGAGGUAACGGCCCACCAAGGCUAAGACGGGUAGCUGGUCUGAGAGGACGACCAGCCACACUGGAACUGAGACACGGUCCAGACACCUACGGGUGGCAGCAGUCGAGAAUUUUUCACAAUGGGCGCAAGCCUGAUGGAGCGACGCCGCGUGGGGGAUGAAUGGCUUCGGCCCGUAAACCCCUGUCAUUCGCGAUCAACCCUUAUUAUUUAAAAGAUGAUAAGCUGAUAGUAGCGGAAGAGGAAGGGACGGCUAACUCUGUGCCAGCAGCCGCGGUAAUACAGAGGUCCCAAGCGUUGUUCGGAUUCACUGGGCGUAAAGGGUGCGUAGGUGGUGGCGUAAGUCGGAUGUGAAAUCUCGGAGCUCAACUCCGAAACUGCAUUGGAAACUGCGUCGCUAGAGGGUCGGAGGGGGGACUGGAAUUCUCGGUGUAGCAGUGAAAUGCGUAGAUAUCGAGAGGAACACCAGUGGCGAAGGCGAGUCCCUGGACGACUCCUGACACUGAGGCACGAAAGCUAGGGGAGCAAACAGGAUUAGAUACCCUAGUAGUCC